rnacentral:rRNA from 1 species
UUACCGAGUUUACAACUCCCAAACCCCUGUGAACAUACCAUAUUGUUGCCUCGGCGGUGUCUGUUUCGGCAGCCCGCCAGAGGACCCAAACCCUAGAUUACAUUAAAGCAUUUUCUGAGUCAAUGAUUAAAUCAAUCAAAACUUUCAACAACGGAUCUCUUGGUUCUGGCAUCGAUGAAGAACGCAGCGAAAUGCGAUAAGUAAUGUGAAUUGCAGAAUUCAGUGAAUCAUCGAAUCUUUGAACGCACAUUGCGCCCGCCAGUAUUCUGGCGGGCAUGCCUGUCCGAGCGUCAUUUCAACCCUCAAGCCCCCGGGCUUGGGUUGGAGAUCGGCGAGCCCCCCGGGGCGCGCCGUCUCCCAAAUAUAGUGGCGGUCCCGCUGUAGCUUCCUCUGCGUAGUAGCACACCUCGCACUGGGAAACAGCGUGGCCACGCCGUAAAACCCCCCACUUCUGAAAGGUUGACCUCGGAUCAGGUAGGAAUACCCGCUGAACUUAAGCAUAUCAAUAAGCGGAGGAAAAGAAACCAACAGGGAUUGCCCUAGUAACGGCGAGUGAAGCGGCAACAGCUCAAAUUUGAAAUCUGGCCUUCGGGUCCGAGUUGUAAUUUGUAGAGGAUGCUUUUUGGUGAGGUACCUUCCGAGUUCCCUGGAACGGGACGCCAUAGA